rnacentral:rRNA from 1 species
GACGAACGCUGGCGGCGUGCCUAAUACAUGCAAGUCGAGCGCAGGAAGCCGUCUGAACCCUUCGGGGGGGCGACGGUGGAAUGAGCGGCGGACGGGUGAGUAACACGUAAAGAACCUGCCCAUAGGUCUGGGAUAACCACGAGAAAUCGGGGCUAAUACCGGAUGUGUCAUCGGACCGCAUGGUCCGCUGAUGAAAGGCGCUCCGGCGUCGCCCAUGGAUGGCUUUGCGGUGCAUUAGCUAGUUGGUGGGGUAACGGCCCACCAAGGCGACGAUGCAUGGCCGACCUGAGAGGGUGAUCGGCCACACUGGGACUGAGACACGGCCCAGACUCCUACGGGAGGCAGCAGGAGGGAAUCUUCCACAAUGGACGAAAGUCUGAUGGAGCAACGCCGCGUGAACGAUGAAGGCUUUCGGGUCGUAAAGUUCUGUUGUAAGGGAAGAACAAGUGCCGCAGGCAAUGGCGGCACCUUGACGGUACCUUGCGAGAAAGCCACGGCUAACUACGUGCCAGCCGCCGCAGUAA